rnacentral:sRNA from 1 species
UGUAUUCUUGCGGCUUCUGCCAGGCCCCG